rnacentral:lncRNA from 1 species
AAUGUAACACUAGAUAAAUGAUUAGGUUGGUUUCCUUUAAUACAUACGGUCUCAUUUUCAUUGUCUUGUAAUUAUUCUUUUUUCUUUUUUUCUUUUUCAUUUUCUUGUAAUUAUUCUUUUUUCUUUUUUUCUUUUUCUUUUUCUAUUUAUAAUUAGUAUUUUAGCAUAUUUUUUAAUCUAUAUAACUUAUGUUAAUCGUUUAAUUAUCAGAAUAUAAAAGAUGACAUUUUAUGUUCUUUAGGUUAUAAGUAUAUAUUUAAUUAAUUUUGAUGUUCAAUAAAUAUCUUUCUAAACUAAUUAAUGUCAAGGUUUGUUACUCAAUAAAUGUUUGAUUGAUUUAUAUAAUUGAGGAUUUACUUAAUAUAAUCAUUUAGCUUACAAUAUUUAAUAGAAAUCUCUAGUUCAUAAUCACUCUAUGAUUGUAUAAACAAAAUACAAAGGGUAAAAAAAUACGUACUGCUGAAAAAUUGUCAUAUUUUCCUUUUUUUUCUAUCUUUUAUGAGUAAUUUUCUUUCUUAUCUAUCAAAUGUACGGAACAAUUGAUUUCUGAUAUAGGUUAAUCUUUUGAAGGUUACACAUCUCUAACUUGUUUAUUUUGUCACUCUAUUCAUCUGUGUUUCCUCUUAUUUUCAAUUUUAUUCUUGCAUCACCAAUGAUUAUGAUAGGGUUUUUCGUAUUGUUUUGAUGAGAUUGAGAUGUUUGUUAGGAUUAUGAGGAUCUCACAAUAAUAAAGUUGGUGCUAAUGUAACACUAGAAAAAUGAUUGGGUUGGUUUCCUUUAAUACAUACGGUCUCAUUUUCAUUGUCUUGUAAUUAUUCUAUUUUCUUUUUUUCUUUUUCAUUUUCUUGUAAUUAUUCUUUUUUCUUUUUUUCUUUUUCAUUUUCUACUUAUAAUUAGUAUUUUAGCAUAUUUUUUAAUCUAUAUAACUUAUGUUAAUCGUUUAAUUAUCAGAAUAUAGAAGAUGACAUUUUAUGUUCUUUAGGAUAUAAGUAUAUAUUUAAUUAAUUUUGAUGUUCAAUACAUAUCUUUCUAAACUAAUUAAUGUCAAGGUUUGUUACUCAUUACAUGUUUGAUUGAUUUAUAUAAUUGAGGAUGUACUUAAUAUAAAUAUUUAGCUUACAUUAUUUAAUAGAAAUCUCUGGUUCAUAAUCACUUUAUGAUUGUAUAAACAAAAUACAAAUGGUAAAAAAAUACGUACUGCUGAAAAAUUGUCAUAUUUUCCUUUUUUUUCUAUCUUUUAUGAGUAAUUUUCUUUCUUAUCUAUCAAAUGUACGGAACAAUUGAUUUCUGAUAUAGGUUAAUCUUUUGAAGGUUACACAUCUCUAACUUGUUUAUUUUGUCACUCUAUUCAUCUGUGUUUCCUCUUAUUUUCAAUUUUAUUCUUGCAUCACCAAUGAUUAUGAUAGGGUUUUUCGUAUUGUUUUGAUGAGAUUGAGAUGUUUGUUAGGAUUAUGAGGAUCUCACAAUAAUAAAGUUGGUGCUAAUGUAACACUAGAAAAAUGAUUGGGUUGGUUUCCUUUAAUACAUACGGUCUCAUUUUCAUUGUCUUGUAAUUAUUCUAUUUUCUUUUUUUCUUUUUCAUUUUCUUGUAAUUAUUCUUUUUUCUUUUUUUCUUUUUCAUUUUCUACUUAUAAUUAGUAUUUUAGCAUAUUUUUUAAUCUAUAUAACUUAUGUUAAUCGUUUAAUUAUCAGAAUAUAGAAGAUGACAUUUUAUGUUCUUUAGGAUAUAAGUAUAUAUUUAAUUAAUUUUGAUGUUCAAUACAUAUCUUUCUAAACUAAUUAAUGUCAAGGUUUGUUACUCAUUACAUGUUUGAUUGAUUUAUAUAAUUGAGGAUUUACUUAAUAUAAAUAUUUAGCUUACAAUAUUUAAUAGAAAUCUCUGGUUCAUAAUCACUUUAUGAUUGUAUAAACAAAAUACAAAGGGUAAAAAAAUACGUACUGCUGAAAAAUUGUCAUAUUUUCCUUUU